ensembl:snoRNA
UUGCAUGCAGUGGCUUUACUGCCCCAACAUGUCCAUCUUUCCACUGUUGAGAUGGGUGUGAAAGGAACAGCAUGCUAGAGUAAACCACAUGGAGUUAACAGGGCCACCAGUCUCUCAAGAGCAGGCUGCGUUGGUAGUAUAAUACUCCAACAAAA